AACUGGCUUCGCAGUUAAGAUAUUAUUAUCUUAUUAAAGAAGUGUCUUAAGACACCUUUGUGCGUCAGUGCAUGAACAUCUGUGUGUAAUGCAACAGAGCCCCGCUUAACUGCUCCCCAGAGACAGGCUUGAAACUGAAGCUAAGAAUAGCCCUGGCUGCAUUACCUCUUGUAAGGGGGGAGAUAAGGGUGAGUUGGAAGGAGAGGAAAGAGGCAAGGGGGCAAGUGAAACUGUGCCGCAUGGGAGAUGACAAGUAGACACAGGAGCCUUAGUCCAUUGCAGGACAGCUCUUUUACCUGGCACAGAUAGUAUAUACACAUGACCUAACCAAUGACCCUUCCAACCUCUCAGAGACAAGAAUGCAUGCAUACGCGCACAAACACACGCAAACACACACACAUAUGCAAGCUGUUUAGGCACCUUACAUGUCAGAAAUCCUUAACUUUUGUUUUUUGUAAAUUAAAUUGUAAUUUUUAGCUUUUUUUUUUUUUGCUUGAGGAAGAGGAAGUGGUGUUUAAGAUGCACAAUACCGUUAGGUUUGGUGGCAUGGCGUGUAGCAUGUAGGUGGAGAUACAUGAAGGAAUAUAGUGGCCAGACGUUGAGGAAAAAGUUCUUGAUUUUAGAAUUGUAGUGACCCAGGAUUAUUGGCAUUUUUUAAAAGACAGAUGAAAGCUGCAUUACUACUUGAUCACCGCUGUAAUUCCAGCGUGUGCUUCUAUAACAGACCAACAGGGCUCUUUUUGCUCGCUUUUGCUUCUUAUUUUUUCAUUUUUUACAAGUGUCUGGGUUUGAAGAUAGAUGGAUGGGCACACAGAGACACAGAGGAACAACAAAAACAACAUCUCUGGGUGCCAUACGGUGUGAUCUGUGCUACUCGCAUGUCACACUGACACAUAUGCACUCACAGUCUUCUCGGAUGUCAGGUGAGAGGUUGUGACCCUGCACUAACAGCUCUGUUUCCUUUACCAUUGAAUAUGAGAACCUCUUCCAGGAUCUCUGAAUGGUUCAAAAAAGGAAACGCUGCACUGAGUGACCUGUUAAAAUAGGUACACGGCAGCACGCCAAGGAAUAAAUGCAUAUGUGUACAGUUUUGUGUGUCGGUGUUGACAUUAAGAAAAUGGAGACAUGAAUAGCUAUAUUCAUCCCAGCAAAACAGCUACUCCAGGGGUGGUGCUACAGCAGUAUUGGUAGUGAUGUCUGAUAAUCACCUGUCAUUUGAGAUAAUUGGGUAAUUGGGGUAAUGGACUUCACUGUGGUCCACUCUGAGCUCAUCAUUUCGAACAGGUAUGGAAGGUUAUAUUUAUACCAUCUACACUAGCUGUCCAGGCAUAUAAAAGGAUGAGCUAGAGGUAAUUAGUGCCUGCCUCUGUUUUCAUUUUACAGACCAGAGAAUGACCACUGAGACAGAUAGAAAAAAGGUAUUUGAGAGAAAAGGAGAAAAAAAUAAAGAAAGAGCUAAGUACAAUAAGCAGAAUAAGAGCUCAGUAACAUAAAUAAAUAAAUAAAGCAACCAAAAUGCUUUGCCAGGUGUUUAAUGGGGACUCGGGGUUAUUUAGUGUAUGACACAGGGAAAGACAGAACGCAUUACCAUAGCAGUCUAACAUUAUGGUCCCGCUGCUAUUACAGAUUUAAUGACACGCUGUGUGGUAGCCAACUACAUUUAACCCUCUCAUCUGCAUAAUAGUGCUGCCCUUACAACACUCACAGCAGAGUAAUACCUCAUUGUAAUUAAUCUCCCUCUCUUUAUCUCUCCCUUGCACCCAUUCAUAUACACACACGCACACAUUUACGCACAAGAGAAAUUGACCAUUAGCGCACAUUUCGCAAAAACGAAAGCACUAUAAAGUUUAUUCUGCAAAUUUGUCCAUGUAAAAUAUUAUCAAGCUAAACAAAUGUAUCCCUCUGACAUUACAUGCCACGGGUUUUUAUGUGGGCUAUUAAAAUCAUGGGCAUGUGGGAAUUUACUCUAUUAUCUGUAACUAAAGGUGAUAAAGCAUGUAUACUAGCUGGGUUGGAUGCAGAAAAAAAUUAUUAUAGGAAAAUAUUUUAUUUGCAAUCUCAACAUUGGUGAUGUAAAUGAGGUAAACAGCCCAGAUGAAUGAACUUUGAGUCCAUAGUCUUUGAAACUUUCUAUCAUUGCCUAGAUAGGUGUCAGGCACAAGUGACAGCAAAGCCAGUAUCAGUGAGCAGCAGUUAAAAACUGGAAAGACUGAAUGAAUCGUAUAAAAUGACACUUUUCAUCGAGAAUGCUUUGCCAUUUAUCAAAUUUAUUGAGACUUUUAUUUCUUCUCUUUCUCUUAAUAACACUCAGUCACGCACACAUGCAUACAUACUUAUAUACUGUAGGGAGCAGGAAUCUGAACCACCAUAAAAUUCAUAGCAGGUUGAAUGUGACCUCCAUUUCUUGCAUGAAAUAUAUUCUCUGCUUAUUCCUUCACAUAUUUCAACUUUAAGCAUGGCCGAAAGAGCCAUAAAAAUGCAGCGAGUGCAGUCAUCUGUCACUUGCAGAAGGCUACCGAACAUUGUCUGUUCUGAUGAUAGCAGUGCCCUUCAUGCUUGCCAAAACUGGUGCCUUGGUACCUCCUUAUUAUGCAGACACUGGAUGUGAUUGUGAGCAUUUGGUGUUCAGAUAAGGGUUAAGGUGGCCAUUUGCUGAUCCUAAGGACGAUUUUGGAUGUAAAUCCUUUAACUAAAUAAAUAGGCAACUUUAUGCCUUUCAAUAUAUAUAUAUGCAUAUGUAGAUAUUUGCAGUUUUUUUUAGCACAUGCAGAAAUGUUAAUCCAUCAGGCAUUUGUGUGUUUUGUGUUGGUUGGCCCUCAUGUUGGAACGCAGGAAUGUGCCUGCCAUGAAGCAACAUGACAACCGACAUGCACAUGGAUUUCAGAAAGACAUCAAAGACUGAGCCAUAUGGGUAGGGUUACCAAAACCACAGGAAGGAAGACAGCAGGAAGGAAGCCGAAAUGAAAGAAAGCACAUAAAUAUAUAUAUAAAAAACACAAUUCAUUUUACAGUCUAAUAUAAAUAAUAACCAUAAUAGACUACCAUGUGCCUGGUGAUGAUUAAGGAAAGUAAUUAGCUUGCAAUGAAUGUAGAAUGAGCUCAUUAAGACAAAUGCAGGGAGACUGAGGCUUAUCACAGUCAAAGACACACUGGCAGCUUCUCCUUUAUGAAAGCACUGAAUCAUCCGUCUUACAAAUCUGUUUAAAAAACCAGGAAGCUGUGUGGCGACCUGCUGUGAUCACCAGGCCAUGACAGCAGUGUUUUGAAUGAUGAAGUAAUGCAUGGGUUGAAGAGCAAUGGAUGUCAUUUUUCAUUUACAUAUCUACACAAAAGGCCUGCAGACUGGACCAUUUCUCCUUUGAUUGCUGUUAUUUUCUGAGCCAUCUGAAUGAAUGGAAGUUCACCGAGAAAAGGAAUUUCCCUCAAUAUCAGCAUGGCCCACCAUUUAUCUCUACAAGUAAAGCUGAUUAAUACUGAGAAUGCCAAUAUUCACUUCUUACACUCUACUACAGUGCCAUACCAGCACCAUGGGCUGUUGGCAAUUAUAAAGAAAAAAGUGUCACAUCAAAUAUAUGUCGAUUUAAUAUUGCACUCUGCGUGCAGUAAGGUUACUGCAAUAUACCUACUGAGAUUGCCUGAUUUUUGUUAUUAUUAAGCAUGUGGUCUCUCAUUUUAUUCCUUUUUCUGGAAGUGAACUUUGCCCAGCUUUGGUCUUAUGUAAUCUUGUUGUGAAUUUGGCUCGGCACCUGGCGGCUUAAAUCAAAUUCCCCUUGGUCUCAAUAAAACAGUUCUGCUUGGAACGUAUCCACUGUGAGACAGAAAGGAACAUUGUGCGUGCUAUUGCGAAAGAACAACUGAUUCUGCGAAAAGGCCAGUGUGGCCCUUGUAAAAAUGUAGCGGGAAACCAAGAUCGAAGGCAGAGUCAAAGAGGAGCAUUGCAAGGUGUUUGGUGUCAGCUGUCAAAUCCUUGGUGGCAUGAUGUCAUGUGGUUUGACUGAUAAAGGAGGAGAUGCCAUUACAUGCCACCAGGCAGAAGAGGGAGUCCCAGAAUUAUUUUUCAAGAGUUUUCCAACUGUCAGACAAAAGCAUCAAAAUUACCUUUACUUCUGUUUGUGUAUGUGUGUGGGGGACAAACUGACACUCAUGGCUUAACCGCGCUUUGAUGGCUGGCAUUUUGUCCAUGACUCCUAACUCUGUCUAACAGUAAUGUAAUAGACAAAUAAAAUGAGACACAAUAGGGA